AGAAGUCUCCAACUCUGUCCUCAUCAUUCUUUUCUUUCUUUGUUAUUUUCUUGACUGCUACAACUUGUCCAUCAGGUAAAUGUCCUUUGUACACUUCUGCAUGUCCUCCUUUGCCAAUCAAGUUAUCUGUCACAUUUCCAAGGUAUAAAAUCAGUAGAAUAUUUAGCAUAAACUACGUGCAAAGUUAUUUGAUGUUGGCACUUCUAUUUUCAAGUAAGCGUGCACAUUAUGCAAUCUAAUUAUAAGACUAUACUCCCUUUGUUUUAAUUUAUGUGAACCUAUUUUAUUUUUAGUCUAUGCCAAAAAGAAUGACCUUUUUUCCAUUUGGAANCAAUUUACCUUUAUGCAAUGAUUUAUAGUCACACAAAAUAUAUGUGCCUCAUUUUACACCACAAGUUUAAAAGCCUUAUCUUUUUUUUUAACUCUGUGUCCAGUCAAAUGGGUUCACAUAAAUUGAAAUGGAGGGAGUAAUACAUUUCCUUGAAAGCAACAUAUUUUAGGUAAAAUUGUGAGAUUCUUGAAAAAACUUUCUUUUUGUAUCCGGACCAACUUAAUUAUUUCACUGGGUAUCUCACAACAUUAUUGGGUUAAAAUGAGGAUAAAGAUCAAUUUUAGCCCGCGGGCGAAAUUAUUUAUAUUUGGUAGCUGCAAAAGUGUAUAAAAUUUAUGUAUUUUCUUGUAUAUAACAUACAGAAAUAUAUACAUAUCCAAAAAAUAUAUAAAAAAUUAUACAUUUUUCAUCUAUUAUUUCGAGAGCGGCUAUAUAGUGCCAUUUUUCCUAAAAAUGACUACGAAGAUUCACAUAGAUAGAUAGAAAUCACCUAGCAUUUUUUAUCAUGGUUGGAAUUUGAAUCAAGUUUUCUAUAUUUUCAUCCCUUAGGAGCUUGUGGAAUUCUUGGACAAUUGGACCAUUCAUUUAUUUUUUUUCUUUUUGAGUCAAUAAUAAUGGCAAGAAGCUGCAGGCAUGUGCAGAUGAGUACACUUGCAGCUGCUCAGCUGCAUCAACAUGGCCUUGGAGCAGAAAUUUCAAACUUGAGGGGACAAAUUGAAACAUCAAGGCCCAUAGACAGUAAUAGAAAAAUUAAAUACUCCCUUUUGUUUCAAUUUAGAUAAUACAAUUUCAUUGUUGGCAAUGACACAUUUCUACAAUUGAAUAAUUUAAUUCUAAAUUCUUUAUUUUUCUCAUUUUACUCUUAAUGAGAAGCUUUU
rnacentral:lncRNA from 1 species